AGUAGCUCAGUGGUAGAGCUCUCGCUUCGUAUGCGGGAAGACCUGGGCUUAUAUUCCCGGCU
rnacentral:tRNA from 1 species